rnacentral:rRNA from 1 species
CUGGCGGAAUGCUUUACACAUGCAAGUCGAGCGGCAGCGCGGGGGCAACCCUGGCGGCGAGCGGCGAACGGUUGAGUAAUGUAUCGGAACGUACCCAGUCGUGGGGGAUAACACAGCGAAAGCUGUGCUAAUACCGCAUACGACCUGAGGGUGAAAGCGGGGGACCGUAAGGCCUCGCGCGAUUGGAGCGGCCGAUAUCGGAUUAGCUUGUUGGUGAGGUAAAGGCUCACCAAGGCGACGAUCCGUAGCUGGUCUGAGAGGACGACCAGCCACACUGGAACUGAGACACGGUCCAGACUCCUACGGGAGGCAGCAGUGGGGAAUUUUGGACAAUGGGGGCAACCCUGAUCCAGCCAUUCCGCGUGAGUGAAGAAGGCCUUCGGGUUGUAAAGCUCUUUCAGCAGGAACGAAACGGUGGUCCCCAAUACGGGCUACUAAUGACGGUACCUGAAGAAGAAGCACCGGCUAACUACGUGCCAGCAGCCGCGGUAAUACGUAGGGUGCGAGCGUUAAUCGGAAUUACUGGGCGUAAAGCGUGCGCAGGCGGUUCUAUAAGACAGAUGUGAAAUCCCCGGGCUUAACCUGGGAACUGCGUUUGUGACUGUAGGACUUGAGUGUGGCAGAGGGGGGUGGAAUUCCACGUGUAGCAGUGAAAUGCG